GCUCCUAUAGUGUAGUUGGUUAACACUGUGGACUUUGAAUCCACCACCCGUGGUUCGAAUCCACGUGGGAGCU
rnacentral:tRNA from 1 species